rnacentral:rRNA from 1 species
UACGUAUGUCGCAAGCGUUAUCCGGAUUUAUUGGGCGUAAAGCGCGUCUAGGUGGUUUGAUAAGUCUGAUGUGAAAAUGCGGAGCUCAACUCCGUAUUGCGUUGGAAACUGCCAAACUAGAGUAUCGGAGAGGUGGGCGGAACUACAAGUGUAGAGGUGAAAUUCGUAGAUAUUUGUAGGAAUGCCGAUAGAGAAGUCAG